CCCUUAGAUGUUCUGGGCCGCACGCGCGCUACACUGAUGCAUUCAACGAGCCUAUCCUUGACCGACAGGUCCGGGUAAUCUUUGAAUCUGCAUCGUGACGGGGAUAGAUUAUUGCAAUUAUUAAUCUUCAACGAGGAAUGCCUAGUAGGCGCAAGUCAUCAGCUUGCGUCGAUUACGUCCCUGCCCUUUGUACACACCGCCCGUCGCUCCUACCGAUUGAAUGGUUUAGUGAGGCCUUCGGAUCCGCGACUCGUUUUGUGGAGAAGUUGGACAAACUCAGUCAUUUAGAGGAAGUAAAAGUCGUAACA
rnacentral:rRNA from 1 species